rnacentral:rRNA from 1 species
GUCUUUUAGUGAAUUAUUUAAGGUUUGGCCUGCUCCAUGAUAAAUUAAAUAGCCGCAGUAUUUUGACUGUGCAAAGGUAGCAUAAUCAUUAGUUUUUUAAUUGAAAGCUGGAAUGAAUGGUCGGAUGAGAAAACUACUGUCUCACUGUAAUUUUUAUUUGAAUUUUAUUUUUAAGUCAAAAAGCUUAAAUUUAAUAAAAAGACGAGAAGACCCUAUAGAGUUUAAUAUAUAGGCAGAAUAAUAUUUAGUGGGUUUUACUUUGAUUAUUUAAUUAUAUAUUUUGUUGGGGUGACAUAAGAAUUUAUUAAACUUCUUAUAAUUUUAACAUUGAUUAAUGAAUAAUUGAUCCUGAUAUUUGGAUUUAAAGAAUAAAUUACCUUAGGGAUAACAGCGUAAUUCUUUUGGAGAGUUCUAAUCAAUAAAAGGGAUUGCGACCUCGAUGUUGGAUUAAAAUUAAAUUUUGGUGCAGAAGCUAGGAUUUUGAGUCUGUUCGACUCUUAAAAUUUUACAUGAUCUGAGUUUAAACCGGCGUGAGCCAGGUUGGUUUCUAUCUUUUAUAGUUAAAAUAUUUUAGUACGAAAGGACCAAAUAUUUAAAUAAUAUUUUUUGUUUGAAUAUAAUUGUUAUUUUGGCAGAAUAGUGCAAUAGAUUUAGAAUCUUUAAAUGUAAUUACAUUACAAAUAACAAUUUAUUUUUUUGAUUUGUUUUUAUUGUUUAUUUCAAUAGUUGUUUUAGUUGUUUGUGUUUUGGUGGGAGUAGCUUUUUUGACUCUUCUUGAGCGAAAGGUAUU